UACGUAGGGUGCGAGCGUUAAUCGGAAUUACUGGGCGUAAAGCGUGCGUAGGCGGUUUGUUAAGACAGGCGUGAAAUCCCCGGGCUCAACCUGGGAACUGCGCUUGUGACUGGCAGGCUAGAGUACGGCAGAGGGGGGUGGAAUUCCACGUGUAGCAGUGAAAUGCGUAGAGAUGUGGAGGAACACCAAUGGCGAAGGCAGCCCCCUGGGUCGAUACUGACGCUGAGGCGCGAAAGCGUGGGUAGCAAACAGG
rnacentral:rRNA from 1 species